UUCGAGAGGGGCAAGUGUUGUUCGUAAUGACUGGGCGUAAAGGGUAUGUAGGUUGUUAUCACAAACAUGAAGUAAAAGGCUGUAUUUAAUGAAUAUAGAAAUACUAAUUGAAAGAGAUAGCUAGAAUUAGUCUCAAGAUUAAAGAAUUUUUUUUGUAGGGCUAAAAUCCGUAUUUGAAAAAAAAGAGAAUGUCGAUGGUGGAAACAUUAAUCUAGAGAUAAUUAACGCUGAGGUACGAAAGCGUGGGGAGCAAAUAGG
rnacentral:rRNA from 1 species